AGCAGCCGCGGUAAUUCCAGCUCCAAUAGCGUAUAUUAAAGUUGCUGCAGUUAAAAAGCUCGUAGUUGAAUUUCGGGACCAUCAUGUCGGUCGUGCCUCGGUACGUACUGGCAUUGUUGGUUUCUCCCUUCUGACGAACCAUGAUGUCAUUAAUUUGGUGUUAUGGGGAGUUAGGACUGUUACUUUGAAAAAAUUAGAGUGUUUAAAGCAGGCUUUAGCUUGAAUACAUUAGCAUGGAAUAAUGAAAUAGGACGUUCGAACCUAUUUUGUUGGUUUCUAGGAUCAACGUAAUGAUUAAUAGGGAUAGUUGGGGGCAUUAGUAUUCAAUUGUCAGAGGUGAAAUUCUUGGAUUUAUUGAAGACUAACUACUGCGAAAGCAUUUGCCAAGGAUGUUUUCAUUAAUC
rnacentral:rRNA from 1 species